rnacentral:rRNA from 1 species
UGAGGAAUAUUGCGCAAUGGAGGCAACUCUGACGCAGCCAUGCCGCGUGCAGGAAGAAGGCGCUACGCGUUGUAAACUGCUUUUAAACGGGAAGAAACCCCGGGACGUGUCCCGGGUUGACGGUACCGUUGGAAUAAGCACCGGCUAACUUCGUGCCAGCAGCCGCGGUAAUACGAAGGGUGCAAGCGUUGUCCGGAUUCAUUGGGUUUAAAGGGUGCGUAGGCGGAACAAUAAGUCAGCGGUGAAAGCC